rnacentral:lncRNA from 1 species
AUGCCUCGGGGUCACAAUGCAGAGAAGGAACACUUCGCUCUGGACGCCCGGAGAGGGACAGCUGGCCUGGGUGUGCCAGCUUCCAAAGGGCGGGAGGGACUUCAUCAGGGAGACCAUCCGUCCAGGCGGCCCCCAGGGUCUGAAAUGGCCAAGGCGUCCAGGCGGCCCCCAGGGUCUGAAAUGGCCAAGGCGGGGUCCCGUCCGCCCCCUCCCCCGCAGGGCAGCCCGGGUCCCCAACGUGGGCCGGGGCGCGGGGGCGGCAGGUUUCCGGCCGGUCCCACCCAGGUCCCACCCAGCCGACUGGCCGGGGCGGGGACCCCCCAACCCCCCCAACCUUCCCGGCCCCCCCCCCCCCCGCCGGCCUCCCCAGCCCAGCCUGGUCCCGGGUCCGGAGGCGGGCGAGAGGCAGGGGGGAGGCAGAGGGGAGGGGCGGGGGGGGAGCGGGGGGAGGCGGGCUGGAGGCAGGGGGGAGGCGGGCGGGCGGGGAGGGAGCAGGGGGCAGGCGGGCGGGAGGCAGGGGGGAGACAGAGGGGAGGGGCGGGCGGGGGGGAGCAGGGGGGAGGCGGGCGAGAGGCAGCGGGGAGGCGGGAGCGAGCGGGCCGCUGCCCGGAGGCCGCGCCGCCCCGGCGCAAACAUUUCCUUAUGUGGUGGCUCCGCGGGGCCGGGGCGGCGCCGGGGGCUGCGGGGACGGCGGCCACGCCCGGGGCCUCGCGGCCACCCUGGCCCUCGGCUGGGCCGCCGCGCCGCGCCUGCUGGACGAGACCAAGAGGGGAGGCCCCCGCCCCGCGUGUCCCCCGCAGCGCGUCCCUCGUUCCCCUGAAGGAGGAGCAGACCCUGUGGCGCCCCGACUUGGCCCGCGCUUGUGGGGGCUCCCGGGUCCGGACGAAGAGGGGGCGCGGGGUCCCCCGGCCCGCCACCUCCCUGCCCCUCCCCGGCGCAGCCGCCCAGCGCCGCAGCCUCCUUGGCCUUGGGAGCUGCAUUUGGGGGUGGAGGGAUAGCGGGGCGACGGCGGGGGGAUGGCCCAGGGCCGGAGCGGCGAGUGCCUCACUGGAAAUGUCGCGGCUCUCGGCGGGCUCCAGGCUCCAGGCUCCAGGCUGCAGCCCUCCCGAGAGAGCUCGGCCUCAAAACCUGGAGCCCGCGGCUGCCUUCCUGCGGCCAGGGCGUCCCGAGCCUGAGGAGUGCGACCCGGCUCCGACACCCCCACCCCCACCCCCACCCGAGCUUCGCAGGUGUCUGCUCCGACCCCCCAAACUGUCCUGGGGCCUCAGGCCGGCCUCCUCGCCAAUUGCAGCCUUUGAGCCAACUUUCAUAGCUGAUAGGGCAGGUUCCCUAUGGGAUAUUUAUUAA